GAGCAUAUCAAUAAGCGGAGGAAAAGAAACCAACCGGGAUUGCCUCAGUAACGGCGAGUGAAGCGGCAAGAGCUCAAAUUUGAAAGCUGGCCCCUUCGGGGUCCGCGUUGUAAUUUGCAGAGGAUGCUUCGGGUGCGGCCCCUGUCUAAGUGCCCUGGAACGGGCCGUCAGAGAGGGUGAGAAUCCCGUCUUGGGCAGGGUGCCCGUGCCCGUGUGAAGCUCCUUCGACGAGUCGAGUUGUUUGGGAAUGCAGCUCUAGAUGGGUGGUAAAUUUCAUCUAAAGCUAAAUACCGGCCGGAGACCGAUAGCGCACAAGUAGAGUGAUCGAAAGAUGAAAAGCACUUUGAAAAGAGAGUUAAACAGCACGUGAAAUUGUUGAAAGGGAAGCGCUUGCGACCAGACUCGGCCCCGGGGUUCAGCCAGCACUCGUGCUGGUGUACUUCCCCGGGGGCGGGCCAGCGUCGGUUUGGGCGGCCGGUCAAAGGCCCCAGGAAUGUAUCGCCCUCCGGGGUUGUCUUAUAGCCUGGGGUGCAAUGCGGCCAGCCCGGACCGAGGAACGCGCUUCGGCACGGACGCUGGCGUAAUGGUCGCAAACGACCCGUCUUGAAACACGGACCAAGGAGUCUAACAUCUACGCGAGUGUUCGGGUGUCAAACCCGUACGCGCAGUGAAAGCGAACGGAGGUGGGAGCCCCCCCGGGGCGCACCAUCGACCGAUCCUGAUGUCUUCGGAUGGAUUUGAGUAAGAGCGUAGCUGUGGGGACCCGAAAGAUGGUGAACUAUGCCUGAAUAGGGCGAAGCCAGAGGAAACUCUGGUGGAGGCUCGCAGCGGUUCUGACGUGCAAAUCGAUCGUCAAAAUUUGGGUAUAGGGGCGAAAGACUAAUCUAACCAUCUGGUAGCUUGGUUCCUGCCGAAGUUU
rnacentral:rRNA from 1 species